GCCCCAAUAGCGCAAUGGUUAACGUGUCCGCCUCCUAUAUGAAUAGUGAGCGGGAGAUUCCAGGUUCGAUCCCUGGUUGGGGUG